GACGAACGCUGGCGGCGUGCUUAACACAUGCAAGUCGAACGGAAAGGCCCUGCUUUUGUGGGGUGCUCGAGUGGCGAACGGGUGAGUAACACGUGAGUAACCUGCCCUUGACUUUGGGAUAACUUCAGGAAACUGGGGCUAAUACCGGAUAGGAGCUCCUGCUGCAUAGUGGGGGUUGGAAAGUUUCGGCGGUUGGGGAUGGACUCGCGGCUUAUCAGCUUGUUGGUGGGGUAGUGGCUUACCAAGGCUUUGACGGGUGGCCGGCCUGAGAGGGUGACCGGCCACAUUGGGACUGAGAUACGGCCCAGACUCCUACGGGAGGCAGCAGUGGGGAAUAUUGCACAAUGGGCGGAAGCCUGAUGCAGCAACGCCGCGUGCGGGAUGACGGCCUUCGGGUUGUAAACCGCUUUCGCCUGUGACGAAGCGUGAGUGACGGUAAUGGGUAAAGAAGCACCGGCUAACUACGUG
rnacentral:rRNA from 1 species